GUACUGACGAAGAGUCCCAAACUAGGACGAAACAGCUGUUCAGUAC
rfam:Trichobilharzia regenti genome assembly, scaffold: TRE_scaffold0074773